rnacentral:miRNA from 1 species
GAGGGUCUGCAGAUUUCAGCC